rnacentral:rRNA from 1 species
AUUGAACGCUGGCGGCAUGCUUUACACAUGCAAGUCGAACGGUAACAGGUUAAGCUGACGAGUGGCGAACGGGUGAGUAAUGCAUCGGAACGUGCCCGGUCGUGGGGGAUAACGCAGCGAAAGCUGCGCUAAUACCGCAUACGAUCUGAGGAUGAAAGCGGGGACCGUAAGGCCUCGCGCGAUCGGAGCGGCCGAUGUCAGAUUAGGUAGUUGGUGGGGUAAAGGCUCACCAGGCCAACGAUCUGUAGCUGGUCUGAGAGGACGACCAGCCACACGGGGACUGAGACACGGCCCAGACUCCUACGGGAGGCAGCAGUGGGGAAUUGUGGACAAUGGGCGAAAGCCUGAUCCAGCAAUGCCGCGUGCAGGAAGAAGGCCUUCGGGUUGUAAACUGCUUUUGUACGGAGCGAAAAGGUCUCCUCUAAUACAGGGGGCUCAUGACGGUACCGUAAGAAUAAGCACCGGCUAACUACGUGCCAGCAGCCGCAGUAA